GGGAAACGGGCAAAGGGGCCAGCCUCAGGCCCCGUAUCAAACUUUUGGGGCA
rfam:Fukomys damarensis contig85944, whole genome shotgun sequence.